rnacentral:rRNA from 1 species
AGUGAACGCUGGCGGUAGGCCUAACACAUGCAAGUCGAACGGCAGCACAGUAAGAGCUUGCUCUUACGGGUGGCGAGUGGCGGACGGGUGAGGAAUACAUCGGAAUCUACUUUUUCGUGGGUGAUAACGUAGGGAAACUUACGCUAAUACCGCAUACGACCUACGGGUGAAAGCAUGGGAUCUUCGGACCUUGCGCGAUUGAAUGAGCCGAUGUCGGAUUAGCUAGUUGGCGGGGUAAAGGCCCACCAAGGCGACGAUCCGUAGCUGGUCUGAGAGGAUGAUCAGCAACACUGGAACUGAGACACGGUCCAGACUCCUACGGGAGGCAGCAGUGGGGAAUAUUGGACAAUGGGCGCAAGCCUGAUCCAGCCAUACCGCGUGGGUGAAGAAGGCCUUCGGGUUGUAAAGCCCUUUUGUUGGGAAAGAAAAGCAGCAGGUUAAUACCCCGCUGUUCUGACGGUACCCAAAGAAUAAGCACCGGCUAACUUCGUG